GAUAUAUUUUAACUUUUUGGGUGCUAACUAAAAUAUGUAAUUAUUCCUUAAUUUUGUUAGCGCACACAAGGAAUUUGUUCCAUCUCUGAGUGUUGUAAUAUGCGGUAAAUAGCCAUGACAGCUGACAUCUUCACUGCUCAUUGCAUUCUCUUCGUGAAGGCCGAGCUCAAGUCUUUACACACACACAACCAAAGCUUGUUUGUCGAUGUUGUUACACUUGUGACAAAAGCUUGGCUGUUUUUUAUUUCUUUAAACAGCUCCUGAGCUUUGUUGAAAUACUCGCUUGGGUUAUUACUUCAUUGCCAUGACAGUGAGUCAUGUGCAGCAGCCCGCCCAUUUAAUCACCCUGACAAAUGUCAAGACAAGCGUUGUAGCUAGCCUGCAUUUGUAUUCAACAUGUCAGGGCUGGGAAAGGUAGAGUGUACUAGCAUGCACAAAUGACGCUGCCAUGGUUACGGAACAAUGAAAGUCAUUAAAACCUUCCCUGUGGUACAAAUAAUUCAGGCAAACAGUUUACAGCUUUAAAAAACUGGGAGUUGAGUAUCAGGCUGCUUAUUACACAGCCAAACAUUAUUCAGUUCAAUUCCGAAAUGGCAGACCUAAACAUGCAGCUGUCAAUUAUGUGACCAUUAUUUAGUUCCCAUUCUGUAUUCAUUCAGAAAGGGAGACCUACAGUAUGUGUUAUGUCGGACCUCUUAACACGUCUUGGUGAGACAAAGUAAUCUAACACUCAGAAUCUACACUGACGCUUACAAAGCUUUAAAAAAA